rnacentral:rRNA from 1 species
AUUGAACGCUGGCGGCAUGCUUUACACAUGCAAGUCGAACGGUAACAGGCCUUCGGGUGCUGACGAGUGGCGAACGGGUGAGUAAUGCAUCGGAACGUGCCCAGAGGUGGGGGAUAACGCAGCGAAAGCUGUGCUAAUACCGCAUGUGAUCUGAGGAUGAAAGCGGGGGACCAAGCAGCAAUGUUUGGCCUCGCGCCUCUGGAGCGGCCGAUGUCAGAUUAGGUAGUUGGUGGGGUAAAGGCCUACCAAGCCGACGAUCUGUAGCUGGUCUGAGAGGACGACCAGCCACACUGGGACUGAGACACGGCCCAGACUCCUACGGGAGGCAGCAGUGGGGAAUUUUGGACAAUGGGCGAAAGCCUGAUCCAGCAAUGCCGCGUGCGGGAAGAAGGCCUUCGGGUUGUAAACCGCUUUUGUACGGAACGAAAAGGCUCUGGCUAAUACCUGGGGCUGAUGACGGUACCGUAAGAAUAGCACCGGCUAACUACGUG